rnacentral:lncRNA from 1 species
GUAAAUAAUGCUUUGGUCAUUUAUUUUUUCUAACACACCUCUUUGAUACAACAUUGUGCACAUAAGUAACUUGAAAACAUGAUGAACAGCACUGAACCAUUCACAGUUAAUUAGGCCUACUCCUUUUUGGAAUUGUGGGAGUCUACAUGUUGUAUACAUUGAUAUUCUGCAUCACAAUACUGCUAGUUAGGAUACUGUGAUAUUUUCUCCUACAUUGUUUGGGAUAGAAUUACAGCCCGAAACUAUUUCAGGGUUUCAGCAGGAAGUGUCUAUUCAACUAGCCAAAGUAAGCAUAUGCUGUUUGUAUUAUGCAGUUACUAGAGUUUAGGAUUUUAUUUGUAUACUUAUUUUUUUUAUUUUAUUUAACCUUUAUUUAACCAGGAAGGGCUCAUUGAGAUUUCAAAUCUAUUUUUCAAGAGCAUCCUGGCCAAGAUAGGCAGCACCAAGUCAUUACACAAGUCAUUACACAAUUACAGACAGACAACAUGAAAAACUACAGGCAGUAAAAAAAACAUAGAAUUCACAGGAGUAUAACAAAAUCCUAAAACAGCAAAUUAAAAACAUUGACAGGUCAGGGAAUCAGCCUCAAAAUCCUUCAUCAAUGAUUUAAAAACACCAAUCGGGACAAGUUCUGUUGCGAAAGCAGCAGCUACUCUUCCCGGAGUCCACACAAAAACACGAAACAUGACAUAAUACAGAACAUUAAUAGACAACAGCUCAAGGACAGAACUACAUACAUUUUAAUAUACUUGCAAGCACAAAACCUAAGCAAACUGCAAUCAUACAUUAUUUUGGGUCUCGUUGGUCCGUUCGUGCAUUGUUAUUCGUAUCCAAUGUGCUUAUGAAAUAGUUGAGAAACUUGGUGAUCAAGACCUCCAAACACACAGUUUGAAUCUAAAGCAAAGGUGGGCCUAUUUCCGAAACAAAGUAUCCUUUUGAAAGCCCAAUGUCAUGUCUUUCUGUUUCUGUCUCUCUCCCAUUUCCCUUUAAAUGCAGUUUUCUUUGCCUUCCCAAAUGCCCUGAGUUUUUAAUUCAGUCUGUGGAUAUAUACAAGUGACAAUGGCAGGCCGCUCAGCUGUCCUGUACAGACCUCCAAUAGAACUUCAAACCAAAGUUAAAUCACAUUUUAAAUUGCUUUUCUUUGGCUUUUUCAGAGAAUGAAAUUCCUGUUUCUAUUCCUGUUUGAUGAGAGCACAAGAAGUGUGGAGGUAUUUUCAGGGCUUUAAAUCUCCUUUCCCACUUAUGCCAGAAUAGCUCCUCACUUCAGUUUAACACACAAAUAAAAACAAGAGCAACAAUUUCACUGACAUGGGCCAGGUGAAAGUAAUGUGCCACAUAAAAUAAUGAGCAAUGUGACUCUGUCACAGAUUUAAAAAACAGGGCAACUAAACUGUGAAUUAACAAUUGCUGGUCUCGUUAGAGAAAAUGAGUGGGAAACGGAUUAAAAAAAAUACAGACCUAGUUAUAUUUGACAUUGCUAAUUUAGCCAAUGACUAGUUUGCAUUGUCAAUUAUAGUCUCAAUUGCACUUUGCGAUUUAACUUCAUGAACACUUGGGAAAUGUAAUGAAAAAAACAAACAUUGCAAAUUCCAUUUGUUAUACGUUGCUCUUGAUGACCUGCAGCUGAUAUUCAGAACAUGUGCGUUGGUGUGAAUAUUCAACAUUUCAUCGAGAAGCUCAUUGUCAUGCAUGUGAAUAAUGAAAGGUCUGAGCGGCAUAAUUAAACCAGCAGAACGCUAAUUCCUGAUAUAAUUGCGAUUGCAAAAGAAACAUACGUACACACAGAAACUCUGUCCAAUUACACUGUGCCAAUAUACACAAAACAAAUGAAUGUGAAUCAGAAACGACAAUUGAGAGCAGCGAUGAAUUAAAUGGAUACGGAUAAUGAUCACGGCGCUCUAAUUAACAGUGGCUGUAGCAGGAUCCGAAGGCUGUAAGUACAGUAUAGCCUAGCGAGUGACAGUCCAAGCCAUGGACACACACAGCACGGAUACAGAGAAGCAAAGCCAAUAUUCCCACGGAAGAGUCUUCUGUCCUUUGCCAUACUGAGAUCUGAUCACUGCAAUAGAGAAUCCUGCACUGCCUGGAGUCAAGGUGACACACCCUGUGUGAGUGUGUGUUUGAGCUGUAUACCAGAAAGCCAUCACACACUCACAGACACACACAGACACACAGAGACACGGAGGCACAGAGACACACACACACACACACUGUGGUGCCCGCACCAUCUCUGAACUGUAAAAUGCUUAGCUGCUACCAGGAAAGCAGAGAGGAGUAGGCAGCAGAUGCCCCUGGGCUCAGUGGGAGGCGGGCACACUGGUCCUGUGUGUGACGGGGGGGUUCUGUCCUGGCACACAUACACACAGCCUCCCCAGCCGCCAUCCAUCCAUCCAUCCGUGUGUGGGACACAUACAAAGAGAGGAAAAGCCACCAAGUCGCCAGCAAGAAGACGAGGACAGAAAAAGAUGAAGGAGAAAACAAAAAGAGGUCUGGAGGCCCUGAAGAGGAAUGUCUUUCUCAAAACCAGCGCAACCGUCCAAAGUUUGUCUCUCUCCGCCCAACUCCACACUACACUGUAAUGCAGAAAUGGGCGUGUUUUUCUCCAACGCAUGUCGUCUGUGGCUUUCUGUCUCUUCAACAAUGUGGUAUUGUCACUUCAGACAUUAGCCACAGAUCAAGUAUGCAAAACAGGCUGGUGAUUACAAUAACCCGGGGUGAGGAAAAAAACAGAGACAGAAGCUUGAGGAGAAAAAGGCUCAAAUAAAACAAAACUGUUGGGUUCGGAUCAGACAACAUGGAUGCCUCCGGGUUUUCUCCUAGUUCUGGUCCGGGUUGUAGCAGCGCUGAGGUGAGGAGGACUUGGCUGGGCUGGGUUGACAUGUUGCAGCCUCGGGUACUGGAGGCUGUGUGGAGUGGAGCCCACACACAAGCCUUCAGAUGCAGCCUCUCUCUCCCUCUUCUCUCCUCUCCUCUCCAUCCCGGCCGACGCUGUUCUGCCUUCUUCAGACUGACUCCUGAGGAAACCCUCCAGAUGAGGAUUAGCUACCAGCUCCUGUGACAGGCAGAAAUCUCAACUCCAAAAGCGGGCAUCAAAGAAAAGCCAGAAGAGGCUGGACCAUAUUCUCUCGCAAAGACAAAACAAAAGUCAAAAAGCACAGGGGCUCCCCAGCACCCGGCCCCGCAUUAGUGUCCCUUAAUUUAUUAUAGAAAAUGUGCUUCUGCUACUGUUCCUUUGUAAAGGGGGUUUAUGUGCCCCUCUCACCAUGUCUUCCAUCACACCAACCCUCCCCUUCCCUUCCUUAGCCUGCCUCCUUAUCCCCCAUCAGUCUGCCAGACAAGUUGUUUCCCACCCAGCCAUGGUACACACAGCCACCAACCCUUUUGUGAGAAUAGAGCGUGUGCUUGUUUUGUAUGGGUAUGGUGUGUGUGAGACUGUGUGUGUCUGUGCCAGCCUGGAGAGGAGGGGAGAAGAGAGGGUGUAGAACAAAAAUGAUCCUCUUUGUAAGUUAUGGGAACACUGAGACAGACGCAGGCGCUCAUAAAUUAUACGCUUCAUUUGCAUAUUCCUGGCGUAAGACAUUAUGCAAAUAACAGAGCAUUUGCAUAAUGGAGUCCUCUUGUUGCCUCAGUUGCCUCAUGCUCCUUUUUAUUUAAUAAUGAAAAAAAUAAAAAAGGGUGUGAAAGAGGAGAGAAUAGCGUGUUUCAACCCCGUGGAGUGGUGUGCCAGCGCACCGUCUCACCAUCCUAUCGCAGCCUCCCCAAAACGCCAGCGCCAGACGGAGCCGCUGCGAGGGAUCUCGCCGCCCCACCAAAAAACAGAACAGGGAGAUCGCAGGGAAAAGAGACAACACUAAGAACAUCAGCAAUUAAACAGCUUACGACCAGACACAUAUCAAAUCUAAACACAGGCAGGGAGAGAGAGGGAAAUUAUAGAUUACAGCUAGCCUCUAUCCUGAGGCACCUGGUAACCUGGCUGUGUGUGUGUGUGUGUGUGUGUGUGUGUGUGUGUGUGUGUGUGUGUGUGUGUGUGUGUGUGUGUCUGAGUGUUGCUGUGUCUUAAUGACUCUGUUCUACCUUGACUAUUAAUGCGAGCAGCAGCCUGGCUAAUUAACGGCACUUGGCAGACCCCUUUCAGAGGGAGGGGGGCAUAUUAUUUAAUAUUUAAAACCUGCUCGGUCUCUUGUUUUUAACCUCAUCAGCUCCGUUCGGAACGACCAGAAAAAAUAAAAGACAGAAAGCGGUGUGGCCAAGAUAAUUACCUAAUCAAAUAUGACAGACAUAGCUAAUUCAGGCUAAUUCUCAGCGAGGCUCCCCGAAACCACUAACGACAAGAGAGAAAAGAUAAUUACCGCAAGGUACAUAAGGAGCGCUAUUAGAAAAACGACCAAAAACAUGGCAAUUUAUUUACAACUUUGAUUCGUCAUCCAUUUAAUCCUCAAAGUUCAUUAAAAAAAUGGGGAAAAGCUAAACAGAUGGUCAUAGAAAAGAGUGGAAAGGCAAAACAGGACAGGAGAGUUGGUAUCUGCUGGUGUGAAAGUGUGUUUAGUUUAGAGACAGAAAGAGAGAGAGGGAAGGAGAGGGUGGAGAGAGAGAGGGAGGGUGAAAAAGGGAGGAGAAGGGUGGAUAGAAAAAGGGGUGGGAGGUGGUUGCAGGAGGACUUUGAUUAUUUAUAACAAAAUGCCAUUGCAACAUCCUGCGGUGGGAUCAGACAGCAAAACGUCAACUGCGAUCAGCUAUAGUCCAAUAAGCAGCCUGAGAUCCUUCCCAGCGUACAGUGGGGUAGGGGCACUGCUCACUCACGUCUAUAACACUACACUACACCAGAGCUGCUGGCUGCAGGGCUGGCUAUCUCUCUGUUCCUCUAUUAGCGCCAGCCUACGUG